GUGCCCGUAGCUCAAUCGGAUAGAGCGAUAGCCUUCUAAGCUAUAGGUUACAGGUUCGAUUCCUGUCGGGCAUACAA
rnacentral:tRNA from 1 species